UACACACUGUAAAAAAUUUCUGUAAAUUUACAGCAUAUUAACAGCGUAAAUAUACAGUACUGAACUGUUUUCUAAAAUUACGGUGUCUUACCGUAAAUGCACACGUGAUCGGUGGGAGAGGGGGAACCAAAGGGUAGCUGACGCAUGGAGGAGCAUGGUUUCAGUCAAAGUUUUAUGGAUUUCAUCUCAAGUUGACGCUCAUUCACAGGCAACAGUAGAAGAUGAGCACGUGAUCGGUGGGGGAGGGGAGCAACGGUUAGAGUCUGAUACCAGAGAAAAGCAUCAUCAGUCUCAGUGAAUAUAACAUAGUAAACGGAUUUUAUCUCAAAUUUAAUCUCGAUUACAGAUAGCAGAUAACGAGAAUCUGAAGAACAUGAAGACGGACUGGUUUCACAUGCAGAUGUUGCAGCAUCUGCAUCUGAUAUUGAGAAGACACUCAAUCUACCUGCCAAUCCUCAUCUGAUUUUGCUGGGUUAGUGUGUCAUUACACAUGAUGAAGAGACAUUUACUGAUGUUUAAGAUAUAAAAUUGUAACAUUGCUGUUGUGCACGAUUGUUAAAAUUGCUUUUUUUAUUCUUUUUUUUUUUGUGAGUGUCCAGUCAACACUUUUGACUGCAGUUACAACAGUGUUUGCUGUGUACUACAUCUUCAGCCUGCAGUAUCAAGAGGCAGCUUGUUGCAC